AUUGAACGCUGGCGGCAUGCCUUACACAUGCAAGUCGAACGGCAGCGGACCUUCGGGUGCCGGCGAGUGGCGAACGGGUGAGUAAUAUAUCGGAACGUACCUUUCAGUGGGGGAUAACGUAGCGAAAGUUACGCUAAUACCGCAUAUUCUGUGAGCAGGAAAGCAGGGGAUCGCAAGACCUUGCGCUGAUUGAGCGGCCGAUAUCAGAUUAGCUAGUUGGUGAGGUAAAGGCUCACCAAGGCGACGAUCUGUAGCGGGUCUGAGAGGAUGAUCCGCCACACUGGAACUGAGACACGGUCCAGACUCCUACGGGAGGCAGCAGUGGGGAAUUUUGGACAAUGGGCGCAAGCCUGAUCCAGCCAUGCCGCGUGAGUGAAGAAGGCCUCGGUUGUAAGGUACUACGUUCGGU
rnacentral:rRNA from 1 species